AUGGGGCAGCUCUCAGCUCCUGCCCAGGAGCACGAGGAGAUCAGGAGCACGAUGACUUCUUUUUUUUUUUUUUUUUUAACUUCUCCAUAUAAACCAAUAUUUACCAGUAAUCCUAUGUUUCUGUUUUUGUUUUUUGGCAGACUUUUACCAGUAAAUAUCGGUUUAUUCCUGAAACCAGAAGCCCUAAACAUACCUUUGUUUAUAAGGUCAGUUGUCAUUUUGUCUCUCUCAUUCCCCGCUCCCCCCAGUACAUCCUGGCAGGUAAUUGAAAGGUACCGAGUUUUCUUUCUAGUUUUCCUGCUCUGCGUCUCUGGGAACUGGAGCCUGCAGGACCUAGAGCCUUCUAUUGGUAACGUAGACCCGAGUUUACAAAUUAUUUUUUUAUCAUUUUAAAGCCUGCUUUUAAGAUCAGAGGUGUUCCUGGCUGCCCGCUACGGAAAGUGGUAGAAACGCCUGCAAAUGCAUAAAUUGCUUCAUCUCUCUGAAGACUGUGAGUAGGUCUCUCACAAGCAUCUUCAGGCUUGGGGCUGAGAAAAUAAUUUAUCCCAAAAUAUAUGUAAAAAAUGCCAUUUCUGUUUUACAGUGAGCAGGAAUGGGGGAGGGAAGGGUGGGAAAGGAAUUUGAAAAUACUUUUUUUUCCCCAUCCAUUUUUUUCUAAUUUACUUCUAGAAAGCAAGUAUGACGUGGGGAGAAGGGUGAGAAUUUGAGUUUUGACCUUCGUAAACUCAUUGUAAAACUCUUCCUCCAAGGCUGGGGGAAAGGGCAAGUAAAAGGUCUGAUCCUUAAAAGGACAUUGCUAGGUGUCUGGGACCCCCAAAAGCAGCUGGCAGUUUUUAAUUGCGGGAAUCACUUUAGGUUGUUUUUUCAGAGUUUUGGUUCAUACCAUGACAAAUCAACUUGGGAGCACUGAAGCCUCCUUUUUUUUCUUUUUUUUUUUUCUGCAAGUGUUUGCAACCCAAACACAACAGCGUUAUGCUAAUACUCAAGAAACAGAGAAGCUAAUGAGGAAUAGAAAAUGAGUUGACUAAAAAAAAAAAAACAGCCUUGACCCCCCCCAAAAAACGCAACCUCCCAAAAAAGCAAGGGAAAGAGGUCUCAAAUGCCUAGUCUGGUUUUAUUGUACAUGGUUGGCAAGAGUGUUUUUGGCAUAGCUGCAGCCUAACUAUGUCCCUUUAAGGAGCACCAGUGGCUAAUUUCCUCCUUAUGAACCCAAAAGCUGAGAUUUUUUGAGUUUUCAAGUGCAGAUCCAAGCUCCUGAGCCUUAGUUGGAGUCCAGAAUGAGGGCAGCCCUUCCAGCUGUGCACUUUGAGCUGAAAACUACCUUUCCUCCCCUUUUGCAGCCUGGGUGGUUCUGAUUGCUGGCAGUUCUGUAAUACAACUUUAAUCUGAGCAAUUGAGGCUGGUCCUACAUUAUCUUCAGACGUCUUGCGGAAGACUCCUGUUACCAGUUUGGUACCCAAAAGCUACACCCUACCAUCAGAAGUCACUUUUUUUUUUUUUUUUUUUCAGAGGCAGUGAUAGAUUACCCUCUCUAGCUCUAACAGAAAAGUGAUAAUUGCAAUGCAACUUUCUAAUAAAUUGUUCAUAUAUUCAUAAUUCUGUUACA
rnacentral:lncRNA from 1 species